CCGGGGCCUGUGGGGUCCACCUGGCAGCGACGGUCCCCCGGUUGCCACACAGUGAGGCCGGCCCGGGUGCCGACAGGGAAGCAGGCCGUGCUGGGAAUCGUCACAAACGACCUGAGCGAUUCACGGAUCCCCUUCUGCGGGCUUGGCCCUUGCGCUUUGCCCCGGAAGGAGCACCUCCCCUGAGAUCUCUGCGCGCUCACGGGGCCACUUCAGCGCCUCUGGGCCCUCGUGUGCCGUGCGCUCCCGACGAACGGCAGGGACGGGGACAGGCCGACUCCCAGGGCCUGUGUCCUCAGUGGGACAAAAGAUACGUAUACUAAGGCUGACAUGGGUCGAACAAGGAGAAACCCAACUUCCUUUGAUCCACAGGACGCUCACCGCUGGACCUCUGCCUGCAGGCUCUCGUGGGACGCAUGCAGUCAUUAGAGGGAACAGUCCUUGGCAUCACUGUGGCUCUACGAGACCAGCCAUUUUUAAAGGAACCAGGCUGCGGCCCUCACUCGGUCUGAGCCAAGGUAAGUGCUGACUCGAGAU